CCACACCACGACUGCUAGCAAAUGGCGUUCCCUGAGACCUCAAUUGUGAUGAGAUACGAGUCAGUCACGGUUUGAGCUCUCAUGGCACGCUAUGCUUGUCGAUGUUGUG
rnacentral:pre_miRNA from 1 species